UACGUAGGGUGCAAGCGUUAAUCGGAAUUACUGGGCGUAAAGCGUGCGCAGGCGGCUUUGCAAGACAGAUGUGAAAUCCCCGGGCUCAACCUGGGAACUGCAUUUGUGACUGCAUGGCUAGAGUACGGUAGAGGGGGAUGGAAUUCCGCGUGUAGCAGUGAAAUGUGUAGAUAUGCGGAGGUACACCGAUGGCGAAGGCAAUCCCCUGGACCUGUACUGACGCUCAUGCACGAAAGCGUGGGGAGCAAACAGG
rnacentral:rRNA from 1 species